rnacentral:rRNA from 1 species
GGAUGGGAACUCUAACGAGACUGCCUGGGUUAACCAGGAGGAAGGUGAGGAUGAGGUCAAGUCAGCAUGGCCCUUAUGUCUGGGGCGACACACGUGCUACAAUGGUCGGUACAGAAGGCAGCAAGACCGUAAGGUGGAGCAAAUCCCUAAAACCGAUCCCAGUUCGGAUAGAAGUCUGCAACUCGACUUCUUGAAGUUGGAAUUGCUAGUAAUGACGUGUCAGCAAUAACGUCGUGAAUACGUUCCCGGGCCUUGUACACACCGCCCGUCACAUCAUGGAAGUUGGUUUUACCCGAAGUCGCUGACUCAACCGCAAGGAGAGAGGCGCCGAAGGUGAGGCUGAUGACUGGGAUGAAGUCGUAACAAGGUAGCCGUACCGGAAGGUGCGGCUGGAUCACCUCCUUU